UACGUAGGGUGCAAGCGUUGUCCGGAAUUAUUGGGCGUAAAGAGCUCGUAGGCGGUCUGUCGCGUCUGCUGUGAAAACUCGGGGCUUAACCCUGAGCUUGCAGUGGGUACGGGCAGACUAGAGUGCGGUAGGGGAGACUGGAAUUCCUGGUGUAGCGGUGAAAUGCGCAGAUAUCAGGAGGAACACCGGUGGCGAAGGCGGGUCUCUGGGCCGUAACUGACGCUGAGGAGCGAAAGCAUGGGGAGCGAACAGG
rnacentral:rRNA from 1 species